rnacentral:rRNA from 1 species
UACAGAGGGUGCAAGCGUUGUUCGGAAUUAUUGGGCGUAGAGGGCGUGUAGGCGGUUUGCUAAGUCAUGUGUGAAAUCCCCCGGCUUAACCGAGGAACGACGCAUGAUACUGGCAAGCUAGAGUACCAAAGAGGGGGGGUGGAAUUCCCGGUGUAGCGGUGAAAUGCGUAGAUAUCUGGAGGAAUACCGGUGGCGAAGGCGGCAUCCUGGACCGGCAUUGACGCUGAGGAGCGAAAGCCAGGGGAGCAAAGCGGG